AAUCUCUUCCUCCUCCCAUCCGUGGAAAGAGGCGAAACAGGCGCGAUGGCGGCGAGAAGGGUUGCGAUCCUCCUUCGCUCUUCCCUCGUACGGCCUGUCUCUCGCGGUCUCCCUACCUUCUCCUCCCUAAGUAAUCCUCCUCUUUCCCAGCUAGAGUUGUCGCCGCCUCUCAUGACCUCGCCUGUUUUGCCUCGUCGCUUCUCCUCCGACCGUUUCCUUCUCUCCUCCCGACCCUUCUCCUCCGAUUCCGGUCCGUCGAACGUUGUUCUUCUUCAAGAUGGAGAUCAGGUCACUGCUGCGCUCGAAAAGGCCAAAGAUGUGAAGUUGCCGGCCAUAUUUUACUUCACGGCUACGUGGUGUGGACCUUGCAGGGCCAUAGCCCCAGUAAUCGAACAAUUGAGUCAUGAAUUCCCACAUGUCACUACAUAUAAGAUUGACAUUGAUCAGGAGGGCCUUGGAAGUAUACUGAGCAAUCUUCAUAUUUACUCUGUGCCAACUUUUCACUUUUUUCAUGAUGGUCAAAAGGCUACUGAAGUUGUCGGUGCUGAUGUUCAACGACUGAAGAACACAAUGGAAAAUCUCUACAAUUGAUUUUAGCUUAUACUUGGGUGAUAUGACAAUAAGAAGCCUAAAGUUUCUACUAUUUUUGGGAUCAGCUAGUUUCCACUCCAAGCAAGAAUAAGGAGAAGAGGUGACCGGGAAGAAAGCAUUUUUCUACAAUGGAAGAACUUGAUGAAAGUAUCAAAGUAUCAACUUUCCAUCUUGGCUGGUUGUUGUUGCUCUUGCUUGCUUCUAUUACAUGUUUACAACAAGCUAUAGCUCGUCUUAAACAGAUUUGAACAACGAAAUGUUACAGUAACAAAUGGAUAGCUUAACUAUCCAUUUCUUCGUUUC